AUUGAACGCUGGCGGCAUGCCUUACACAUGCAAGUCGAACGGUAACAGGUCUUCGGAUGCUGACGAGUGGCGAACGGGUGAGUAAUACAUCGGAACGUGCCUAGUAGUGGGGGAUAACUACUCGAAAGAGUGGCUAAUACCGCAUGAGCUCUACGGAUGAAAGCCGGGGAUCGCAAGACCUUGUGCUACUAGAGCGGCCGAUGGCAGAUUAGGUAGUGGGUGGGAUAAAAGCUUACCAAGCCGACGAUCUGUAGCUGGUCUGAGAGGACGAUCAGCCACACUGGGACUGAGACACGGCCCAGACUCCUACGGGAGGCAGCAGUGGGGAAUUUUGGACAAUGGGCGAAAGCCUGAUCCAGCAAUGCCGCGUGCAGGAUGAAGGCCUUCGGGUUGUAAACUGCUUUUGUACGGAACGAAAAGCUCUGGGUUAAUACCCUGGGGUCAUGACGGUACCGUAAGAAUAAGCACCGGCUAACUACGUGCCAGCCGCCGCCGUAACAC
rnacentral:rRNA from 1 species